rnacentral:tRNA from 1 species
CGCCUGGUGGUGAAGAGGGAACACGCUCGGUCACAGCACACUUUUAGGUAAUAGUCCUAGAUAAGAUGUCGAAGUCCGAGAGAUCGUAGGUUCAAUCCCUACCCGGGCAA